CGUAGGUGAACCUGCGGAAGGAUCAUUCAUAAUAAGUGUUUUAUGGCACUUUUUUCAAUCUAUAUCCACCUUGUGUGCAAUGUCAGGGUUGAUUUUUCUCUCGAGAGGAUCAACCCCAAACAUCAACUAUAUCUCAACUCUUUGUCUGAAAAAUAUUAUGAAUAAAACAAUUCAAAAUACAACUUUCAACAACGGAUCUCUUGGCUCUC
rnacentral:misc_RNA from 1 species